rnacentral:lncRNA from 1 species
CAGAAUGGGAGUUACUGGGAUAUGGAGAAUGAUCUGGAAUUAGAUAGCUAGAAAGGCAAUACAUCUUUGGGAAGGUAGUGAAAAACAUGGAAUUGUACACCUUAAAAGAGAGAGUUUUACUUUAUCUGUAUUGUAUCUCAAUUUAAAAAGAAAGAAAGGAGACAUUCAUAAACAGUUACUUGAGAGAGACCUUUGCUUAUCAGUCUUCACCAUAUGAGGAUCCCUCAGUUCCAUCAAGCCUUCAGGAAGCAAUGGACACAUGCAGGGGUGACUCAGACUUUGGAUGCACCUGUCAUAGCUUCAGAGCCGCCAUUGGCUGAGGAGAGGAGAUGGAUGAGUGCUAAGAUCCAAGUGCUCCAGGUGUCCAAAGCAAACAGCUUCUGCAAAAACAGCCGGCAGUCCCUGGGGGUUUCCAGUGAUAGUUAUAAGUUACUUGAGCAAAAUCUCUCAAGCAAGUUGCUGCCUUGCAGAUGAUCCAAUCUUCUCCGUCACUCAGUACAUAUAUAUUACAGCAGGCUGUCCCUGGUGUGACAGAUAAAGAGCUGAUCACAUAGUCCCUCAAGGAAAGCGUCACCACCCAGCAUCAAGGACUGUGACAAGUUGACAGUCUUCAGCUCCAGUCUGCUUCAAGCCUUGGAUUUGGAAUGGAGUUGCCACAUACCCAGGGUGACUUCCAGCCAUGUGUCCUGGCUCACACCAGCUGAUGGAAGAGCUGGUAGGUGCACAUUUCUUCUCAAUUCUGCAUUCAUGUUAUCUCCAUAGCUUCAAAUCAAUGAUGGUGCAAGCCUUUACCCUGAAAAAAUUGACAGAUGCUGCAAAUCAGCACUCCCUCCUUGGAAAGCCAUCGUUAAACAUUUGCCAGUGACUGGGGUGGGGGGGACCAGAGGUACAAGGAUAUUGUUAUUUCUGACCAAACACGGAACUCUUCUUACCAGCAACCGUUGCUCUGGUGCUCUAGUGGAGCUUACAGACUGUCCAGUCUACAUUUCUGAUGAAUCCCCUGGCACAUAUGGCUUCUUCCCAUUUUCCUUUCACAGGUAUUAUUUCCCAGUAAACUUUGGUAUUCCCAACACUGCAUUAGAAUC